GCAAUGUCCUGCGGCUACAUCUCCAGGAAGUUCGUAGGGUCCCAAGCUCCUGGAGCAUGUUGAUGUCUCUGCUGUGGAGGAUGGUCUGCGGAGCCUGUACAUCAACCACUGUUGUUUGGGAAAAACGCCGCUUUUUUUAAUCAGUUCAUUUUGUAUUCUACCCCAGAAGACCUCCAGGAGCUGAAGUUCACUAUCGGAAAUUGGCAGUUCACUAUCUCUAUGGCGUUGAAGUUCAGUUUGACCGUGAUAGAAAUUCAUCUAAAAAAGCUAGAAGAAGUUUACUCAUUUUUGUAUUUGAAGUGAGUACCUAGUGAUUGCAAUUAGAAACUUAGGGUGAUUGUUG